UGGGGAAUUUUGGACAAUGGGGGAAACCCUGAUCCAGCCAUCCCGCGUGUGCGAUGAAGGCCUUCGGGUUGUAAAGCACUUUUGGCAGGAAAGAAACGUCAUGGGUUAAUACCCCGUGAAACUGACGGUACCUGCAGAAUAAGCACCGGCUAACUACGUGCCAGCAGCCGCGGUAAUACGUAGGGUGCAAGCGUUAAUCGGAAUUACUGGGCGUAAAGCGUGCGCAGGCGGUUCGGAAAGAAAGAUGUGAAAUCCCAGAGCUCAACUUUGGAACUGCAUUUUUAACUACCGGGCUAGGGUGUGUCAGAGGGAGGUGGAAGUCCGCGUGUAGCAGUGAAAUGCGUAGAUAUGCGGAGGAACACCGAUGGCGAAGGCAGCCUCCUGGGAUAACACUGACGCUCAUGCACGAAAGCGUGGGGAGCAAACAGGA
rnacentral:rRNA from 1 species